rnacentral:rRNA from 1 species
GUAUUGCCUCAGUAACGGCGAGUGAGCGGCAUGAGCUCAAAUUUGAAAUCCCUCGGGAGUUGUAAUUUGAAGGUUGGAGGUUCCAGCAACACACUGCCUAAGUCCCUUGGAACAGGGCGCCUUGGAGGGUGAGAGCCCCGUGAGGCAGCCGUGGCGCGUCGUAACCUCCUUCCAACGAGUCGAGUUGUUUGGGAAUGCAGCUCAAAGUGGGUGGUAAAUUCCAUCUAAAGCUAAAUACCGGCGAGAGACCGAUAGCGAACAAGUACAGUGAUGGAAAGAUGAAAAGCACUUUGAAAAGAGAGUGAAACAGUACGUGAAAUUGUUGAAAGGGAAGGGCUUGCAAGCAGACUCGGCCUCGGCCGGGCCAGCAUCGGUUUGGCGGGACGGACAAAGCGCGAGGAAUGUGGCACCCCUCGGGGUGUGUUAUAGCCUCGCGUCCUACGUCCUCGCCAGACCGAGGUCUGCGAUUCUUAUCUAGGAUGCUGGCGUAAUGGUUGCAAGCCGCCCGUCUUAAAAACCACGGACACA